UACGUAGGGUGCAAGCGUUGUCCGGAAUUAUUGGGCGUAAAGAGCUCGUAGGCGGUCUGUUGCGUCAGGAGUGAAAACUCGGGGCUUAACCCCGAGCCUGCUUCUGAUACGGGCAGACUAGAGGUAUGCAGGGGAGAACGGAAUUCCUGGUGUAGCGGUGAAAUGCGCAGAUAUCAGGAGGAACACCGGCGGCGAAGGCGGUUCUCUGGGCAUUACCUGACGCUGAGGAGCGAAAGUGUGGGGAGCGAACAGG
rnacentral:rRNA from 1 species